CGUGAGGGAUGACGGCCUCUCGGGUUGUAAACCUCUUUUAGUAGGGAAGAAGCGAAAGUGACGGUACCUGCAGAAAAAGCACCGGCUAACUACGUGCCAGCAGCCGCGGUAAUACGUAGGGUGCAAGCGUUGUCCGGAAUUAUUGGGCGUAAAGAGCUCGUAGGCGGUUUGUCGCGUCUGCUGUGAAAUCCCGAGGCUCAACCUCGGGCUUGCAGUGGGUACGGGCAGACUAGAGUGCGGUAGGGGAGAUUGGAAUUCCUGGUGUAGCGGUGAAAUGCGCAGAUAUCAGGAGGAACACCGGUGGCGAAGGCGGAUCUCUGGGCCGAAACUGACGCUGAGGAGCGAAAGCAUGGGGAGCGAACAGGAUUAGAUACCCUGGUAGUCCAUGCUGUAAACGUUGGGCGCUAGAUGUGGGGACCUUUCCACGGUUUCUGUGUCGCAGCUAACGCAUUAAGCGCCCCGCCUGGGGAGUACGGCCGCAAGGCUAAAACUCAAAGGAAUUGACGGGGGCCCGCACAAGCGGCGGAGCAUGCGGAUUAAUUCGAUGCAACGCGAAGAACCUUACCUGGGCUUUGACAUACACCGCGAAACUGGCAGAGAUG
rnacentral:rRNA from 1 species